rnacentral:rRNA from 1 species
AUUGAACGCUGGCGGCAGGCCUAACACAUGCCAGUCGAGCGGAUGAAGGGAGCUUGCUCCUGGAUUCAGCGGCGGACGGGUGAGUAAUGCCUAGGAAUCUGCCUGGUAGUGGGGGAUAACGUCCGGAAACGGGCGCUAAUACCGCAUACGUCCUGAGGGAGAAAGUGGGGGAUCUUCGGACCUCACGCUAUCAGAUGAGCCUAGGUCGGAUUAGCUAGUUGGUGGGGUAAAGGCCUACCAAGGCGACGAUCCGUAACUGGUCUGAGAGGAUGAUCAGUCACACUGGAACUGAGACACGGUCCAGACUCCUACGGGAGGCAGCAGUGGGGAAUAUUGGACAAUGGGCGAAAGCCUGAUCCAGCCAUGCCGCGUGUGUGAAGAAGGUCUUCGGAUUGUAAAGCACUUUAAGUUGGGAGGAAGGGCAGUAAGUUAAUACCUUGCUGUUUUGACGUUACCAACAGAAGAAGCACCGGCUAACUUCGUG